GCGGAGGAAAAGAAACCAACAGGGAUUGCCCUAGUAACGGCGAGUGAAGCGGCAUCAGCUCAAAUUUGAAAUCUGGCUCUUUCAGGGUCCGAGUUGUAAUUUGCAGAGGGCGCUUUGGUGUUGGCAGCGGUCCAAGUUCCUUGGAACAGGACGUCACAGAGGGUGAGAAUCCCGUACGUGGUCGCUGGCCUUCGCCGUGUAAAGCCCCUUCGACGAGUCGAGUUGUUUGGGAAUGCAGCUCUAAAUGGGAGGUAAAUUUCUUCUAAAGCUAAAUACUGGCCAGAGACCGAUAGCGCACAAGUAGAGUGAUCGAAAGAUGAAAAGCACUUUGGAAAGAGAGUCAAAUAGCACGUGAAAUUGUUGAAAGGGAAGCGCUUGCAGCCAGACUUGCCUGUAGUUGCUCAUCUAGGCUCUUUGCCUAGUGCACUCUUCUGCGGGCAGGCCAGCAUCAGUCUAGGCGGUUGGAUAAAGGCCUCUGUCAUGUACCUCCUCUCGGGGAGGCCUUAUAGGGGAGGCGUAAUGCAACCAGCCUGGACUGAGGUCCGCGCAUCUGCUAGGAUGCUGGCGUAAUGGCUGUAAGCGGCCCGUC
rnacentral:sRNA from 1 species